rnacentral:antisense_RNA from 1 species
UUCCAUGGGCGGGCCCUGGUGGGGGAGCCUUCGGGCUCACCGGUGCCAACGUUCCGGUACGCCAACUUCACCUUGUGCCCGCCCACCCCG